AUUGAACGCUGGCGGCAGGCCUAACACAUGCAAGUCGAGCGAGCGGCGGACGGGUGAGUAAUGUAUGGGGAUCUGCACGAUAGAGGGGGAUAACUACUGGAAACGGUUGCUAAUACCGCAUACUAUCGGAUGAACCCAUAUGGGAUUAGGUAGUUGGUGAGGUCAAGGCUCAACAACCGACGAUCUCUAGCUGGUCUGAGAGGAUGACCAGCCAAACUGGGACUGAGAAACGGCCCAGACUCCUACGGGAGGCAGCAGUGGGGAAUAUUGCGCAAUGGGGGGAACCCUGACGCAGCCAUGCCGCGUGAAUGAAGAAGGCCUUCGGGUUGUAAAGUUCUUUCGGUAGCGAGGCGUUAACUACAGAAGAAGCACCGGCUAACUACGUGCCAGCAGCCGCGGUAAUUC
rnacentral:rRNA from 1 species